UUACGACCUCAUCACUUUGAAAGGACGGUUCCCGUAUAAUCACCGAAGUUAAGCAACGUCGAGCCUGGUCAGUACCUAGAUGGGUGACCGCUUGGGAAUACCAGGUGCUGUAAG
rnacentral:rRNA from 1 species